GAAAUAGCCGUUGAUUUUAACCUGUAUUGCUCAAAAUCAAGCAGUGGUGUUGUUUUUGUCCUGUUUUCACAAAAGGCUGAGAAACUUUUCGUGCACCAGCUCCUGAAAAGUCAAUGGAGCAUGGCUUUUAAAAAAGUAUUUUGAAAGACCAUGUUAAUAACGGAAGACCAUCUCAGGGGAACACUAACUAAUGGUUCCAAGUGCUGGAAUUCUUGCCAGCUUCUCUUUGUGCCAGCCUCUUGUCGGCCUUGGCGUCUCAUUCGGAAGAAGCCUGGCAUGCAGGCACCGCCCAUUUCUUGGCGCUGAGCUGCUAUGAGAAGGAAAAGGGAACACAGGAGAGGGGGGGAGGCUGUCUCACUCAAACUGGCCUUUCUCGAAAAAAAGAAACCAUUCCUGAUGAUUGUCCAGAUAAUCGGAACUAAAGCCAGCGGCUACUGAGCAACAAAACCUUUCUCCUUCCCGGCACAUCUCUUUCUGGUUGUGCUUCACCUGAAGGCUCCAGGCCAUGUAUGUUCUUCAUAGCCAACACUUCAUCAAGUUUGCGGUUCAUGAGCAACAAAACAAUGCUGUCCUUGAGGCUGAGGUAGUAGAUUGAAUAGUUGUGGAGCCAUAUUCUCCCUCUGAGCUAACUAUACAAUCUACUGUCUUUCCUAAGGAGACAGUCAAGUUAUCCGCUCCUGUCAGAUCACCCAUUCCUGAUGCUGGUUAAUCUGCGCUCAAGUCAUCUGCCAUGGACAAUACCACUUGGGGGGCUUUGGACAUCAGGCCCAUGAUUCCACAGCAGCUUCCCAAUGUGUGAGGCCUCUGUCCUGCUCUGUGGAGGUGAGGUAGUGGAAAAGACAGAAUAGCUGUACAAUGUCUUUUGAUUGGUUGCACUACGAGCUGUCCAUCUGGAAGCACACUGAGAAUCUUGGCUUACGUAUUUCUCUGUGAAAACAGCACAUUUCAAGACCUAAUUAUUGUGAUGGGAAGUUUUAAAAUGUGCUUUCAGAGACUGCAUAUAACGCAGCAGGCGUCAUGACUUGGCAGCAUUACAGAAGUCUACCAACAGGACUCCUGUGCUCUCUACCUCUCUUCAUCUCCCAGUUUUUACAUUGUUUCUGCACCACCACACUUUUGUCUCUUCCUGGUCUGUUUUAUUUCCUUGUCAUUGGUUCCUGUAUCCUCCUGAGCUUGGAAUACUUAAACUUCAGUCAUUAACGGUGAGCGUUCAUGUUUCAACCUUGGCUCCCUCACUGUUCCUACUGGCUGUUUCCAUGAAACUUGUGGCUCUUUUUCCUUCCUAAUUUUUUAUGCAUUUGUUCAAAAUCCUGCAAGAUACAAAUGUUGCACAAAUGUGAAUUAUGUACACUGAGCUGUUUUGUGCAUAUUGAUAAGCUAAAUUCUGGGUGCAAAAUUAUGUUUUUGGUGCAUUCCACUGCCAGUCCUGGUCACAAAAAUGGGCAGCCACUUAGGGUUUGUACUGAAGAUCUCUGUCGUGCUACUGCGCUGCCAGCUCAAAUCCUGCAACCAGAGUGUGAUAAUUGUCUAAGAGUGCUUCUACACAAAGGGCUCCUAGCACUAAUAGUAAGAAGGCAUUCUGUAUCUAUUCAGUCUUUUUUUCCUUAAUGGAUUAGCUUAAAGCGGUGAGAAAACACAAUAGGGUUAUGAGAGAAUGACUUGUGGACCCCCUUCCAUCCAUACCCUAUCAAUUUCUGUGAAUGAGGCAGGGCAAUAGUGCAAUAAACGCCUCACCUGGAAGCACCCAGAAUGUAAUAGCGAGUGGAAAUUUUUAUGUAGUGGGGAUAAACCUGCAAAGUGGUAUUGCCUGUUCACUAGCGUGGGUGAGAGGAGGGGAGCAUACUAAUGAUGGCAUGUUAGAACAUGCAUCCUUCAAAGCAAAGAAAAAUUAAAUGAGAAAAGUUUCUUGUAAUGGUGGGACUUUGGUGCAGAGUGAUGGGGGGCUACAUAAGGUCUCAUGUGAUAUUGUUGAAUAAAAUAAUGUAUAAUAAAAACAUUAGAAUGUGCGAGCAACUUGUGGUCCUCCAGAUAUUAUUAGACUACAACUCAAAUGAGCCCUAGCCAAUAUAGUCAGUGGUGAAGUAUUGUGGGAUCUUGUCACACAGAGGAGGGCCAGGAUCUCUUCUCGAUCCUCCCAGAGUGCAGGACACGGAAUAACGGGCUCAAGUAACAGGAAGCCAGAUUCCGGCUGGACAUCAGGAAAAACUUCCUGACUGUUAGAGCAGUACAACAAUGGAAUCAGUUACCUAGGGAGGUUGUGGGCUCUCCCACCCUAGAGGCAUUCAAGAGGCAGCUCAACAACCAUCUGUCAGGUAUGCUUUAGGGUGGAUUCCUGCAUUGAGCAGGAGGUUGGACUCGAUGGCCUUGUAGGCCCCUUCCAACUCUGCUAUUCUAUGAUUCUAUGAGGUCCACAGAUUGCCCACCCCCACUUCAGAAACUCCAAAACUGCACAGACAUUUAAAGUGUUGGAGGAUGGGGAAAAUGUGUUUCUCUACACACACACACGCACGCACACACACACGGCCCAAUUAUGCAAUAGUACGAUUUAGUAGGCUCCUAGUGACCUUUGCCCACACACACACACCCCUUUUACAAUAAUGCUGGUUGUACGUCUGGUAAGGAAGGUUUUAAAUAUUCACAAUUACAUCUUGAAGUGCUAAGAAAACUGUGGAAAGCCAGUUUGCCAAUGAUGGAAGUACAACCCACCCAAAUUCUAUUUCAUAUUUGGUGAAAAGAGGACAAGAAUGUCUUCAAAUCUGAAAAUGUAUGUUCUUAUGCUCAAGAGCAAAUGAAACCAAAACCAAUAAUUUCAAGGUCUGCCCCAUCUUGAUGCAUAGGGCUGUCUUCUCUGGACUGGAAUAGAGUGAUUGUUAGCAUGGAUUUCUCUGAACUCUGUAGCAGGAUCUUGCUUGCGCAUAACAAGUGUUAUACUUAUUCAAAAGCACCACCUUCUUUCUUCAUAAUUGCAUGGGGCUCGAGCAAUUCUCCAAAGUGCACCCAUCUUAUAUAUGGUUGAUGUGAUUUCUGAGUUUCAUUCCAGCAGUUGUCACUAUGUGCAUCCAAUGCCACUAUAGAUGUUGAGCUAUGGCCUUGCGUGUGGUUCUUUGUGGGUUAGAGUUUGUCCCUCGUAUGGGCACUAUAAAUCUCAAACAGUUGUGUAUCGACUUGUUUAACUAACAAUGAAGAAAAUUUGCCAUUAAAUUUAAAUUUUCUUCUGCA